rnacentral:rRNA from 1 species
UACGAAGGGGGCUAGCGUUGUUCGGAAUCACUGGGCGUAAAGCGCACGUAGGCGGAUUGUUAAGUCAGGGGUGAAAUCCUGGAGCUCAACUCCAGAACUGCCUUUGAUACUGGCGAUCUUGAGUCCGGGAGAGGUGAGUGGAACUGCGAGUGUAGAGGUGAAAUUCGUAGAUAUUCGCAAGAACACCAGUGGCGAAGGCGGCUCACUGGCCCGGUACUGACGCUGAGGUGCGAAAGCGUGGGGAGCAAACAGGG